rnacentral:rRNA from 1 species
GGGCCCGCACAAGCGGUGGAGUAUGUGGUUUAAUUCGAUGCAACGCGAAGAACCUUACCAGGGUUUGACAUCCUGCGAAUCUCUUGGAAACAGGAGAGUGCCUUCGGGAACGCAGUGACAGGUGCUGCAUGGCUGUCGUCAGCUCGUGUUGUGAAAUGUUGGGUUAAGUCCCGUAACGAGCGCAACCCUUGUCCUUAUUUGCCAGCGCGUAAUGGCGGGAACUCUAAGGAGACUGCCGGUGACAAACCGGAGGAAGGUGGGGACGACGUCAAGUCAUCAUGGCCCUUACGAGUAGGGCUACACACGUGCUACAAUGGUCGGUACAAAGGGUUGCCAACUCGCGAGAGUGAGCCAAUCCCGAAAAGCCGAUCUCAGUCCGGAUCGGAGUCUGCAACUCGACUCCGUGAAGUCGGAAUCGCUAGUAAUCGUGAAUC